UACGGAGGGUGCAAGCGUUAUCCGGAUUUACUGGGUUUAAAGGGUGUGUAGGCGGGCUUUUAAGUCAGUGGUGAAAUCUCCGGGCUCAACCCGGAAACUGCCAUUGAUACUAUUAGUCUUGAAUUUUGUUGAGGUAGGCGGAAUAAGUCAUGUAGCGGUGAAAUGCAUAGAUAUGACUUAGAACACCAAUUGCGAAGGCAGCUUGCUAAACAAAUAUUGACGCUGAGGCACGAAAGCG
rnacentral:rRNA from 1 species